rnacentral:rRNA from 1 species
UAGUCCACGCCGUAAACGAUGGUUACUAGCUGUUCGGACUUCGGUCUGAGUGGCUAAGCGAAAGUGAUAAGUAACCCACCUGGGGAGUACGUUCGCAAGAAUGAAACUCAAAGGAAUUGACGGGGGCCCGCACAAGCGGUGGAGCAUGUGGUUUAAUUCGAUGAUACGCGAGGAACCUUACCAGGGCUUAAAUGUAGAGUGACAGAUCUAGAGAUAGAUUUUUCUUCGGACACUCUACAAGGUGCUGCAUGGUUGUCGUCAGCUCGUGCCGUGAGGUGUCAGGUUAAGUCCUAUAACGAGCGCAACCCCUGUUGUUAGUUGCCAGCAUGUAAAGAUGGGAACUCUAACGAGACUGCCGGUGCAAACCGUGAGGAAGGUGGGGACGACGUCAAAUCAUCACGGCCCUUACGUCCUGGGCCACACACGUGCUACAAUGGCCGGUACAGAGGGAAGCCACCACGUAAGUGGGCGCGGAUCUAUAAAACCGGUCACAGUUCGGAUCGGGGUCUGCAACUCGA